AUUGAGGUCUAUCCUGAUGGGGCUUCUGUUUAUAGCCACACAUCGUUGGAAAUGCCUCCUAUAGUAAUUGUGUGGUUUUACUUUACUCACAGAGCUAUUUCUUAGGUCUGUGGGGAGUAACUACAAUACAUUU
rnacentral:snoRNA from 1 species